GGCCUGUCCCCGCUCCGCUGGCGGGGCGACGCCGCCGCACCGCCGGAGGGGACGGAGCUGGCAGAGAGAGCUUUAAGCCGCUGCUAAGUACAUGAAGAGCAACGGUUCGUGCCUGGGGUUCGAAACCCUGCGGGAAGCCCGGUGUACUGAGAGAGGCACCUUAGAUGACAUUCCUGACUGGAACAACUGCAGUGUGAAUGGAGAGUUAUCCUCAUAUGACUGCAAGCACGCAAUGCUGAUGUGGAAGUUAAGUGUCCUCAGCCACCCCUUCUCUCCCUGCAGUGAAGUCCCCCUGUGGGUGCAGUGUCCAGGAGUACAGAGCUAUGGCUGCACUGAUGUUGCUCACAGUUGUGUUGCUGUAACCAGGCUGGUACAGUUGUGAGUGCUAGAACAUAUGCCUAAAUAGCUAGAAAACUCUUGGCUAGGAAGAGAAAGUCCUGUUUCACCCCUUGCAUUAUCACUGCAGGGUAGUUGAUGACAGAAAGCAAAGCUUGCUGUGGUCUAUAGAAAUGACACUGACAGUCUGGUAAAUAUGAGUUUCAUCAGACAAAUUUAAUCAGCUACUAUGCCCUGCAGCACUAAAAUGUUAGCUCCCUUUCCCAUCCUGCUCAGUUUGCUCUUCAUUGGCUCUUGUAAGCAGAAAUCAUUACAUUUAGCAAGACAUACCUGCUUUUUUUAAAAAGUGCUUUCUACAUGUUGACUUCAGAUUUUGUACUAGAGGUGUUUGCAUUGCUGAAAUAUUGAAAAAGCAAAUGAAAAGACUAAGAAAAUAUUUUCUGAAAUGUUUAAAAUGUAAUUUUUCCUUAAGAGUCAAUGUUCCACUGAAUAGUUAUGUAACAAUAUUUAAAUGCAGUCUUUUCUUGUUAGGCAUAAGGAAUAUAAUGUGAAGCUACAUCAAAAGACGAAAACAUACUACCAUGAAACAAACCCUUGUGUGUCCUGUGAUUCUUAGGAAAUCAUGUUUGGCUGAAAUUUAAUUUAAGUUUUGUUACAAAGUCAAAAGCAAAAAAUUAAAAGUGCGAAGUAGACAUACAUCUCCUCAUGCCUGAAGGUCCACUUCCACAUCUCAGUGUCUUUUAAUAGUGUUAGACCAAGUUCCAGCAGGGAUUCACUCUCUGCUAGAUCUCCAAUCCUCUCAAGAGCAUUAGGCUUAGUGCCAGCAUUCAUUUACUCUUGUAACAGCUUAAAUUAACUCCUGUUACAUUCUAUCUAAACCCUUUCUUACAGAGUAAGAGUUGAGAGCUGGAUUCAGUCACCUAGUCUGAGGGCCACCCAUCAUGCCCGUCCAUCUUUCAGGAUUUCAAGUGCUGCAUAAGCUGGACCGAGGAAGGCGAUGAUCAGCCAUUGCAGCAAGAUAAACUGCCAUUUUGACUCAGAGGAUCUGAGGUCAGUCAGAAGCCUUGAGAAGCUCCAGGAAGCUGGCACCAGUGAAGAGCUGAGGACCAGCAGAGUCUGUAGGUAAUGUGCUGGAAACCAGGGACUAUCCAUGGCAUGAUCUUACCCCAAAUCUACCCAUGACAGCGAUCUGUUACACCUGAUAACAUCUCAGCACCCAAAACAGCCCACUGCUAUUACCAGGCCUGGAUUGACAAAGUGGAAGGCAAGCUUGAGGAAUAAGUAUUGCAUUAUUAUAUUGAAUAAAUGGUAGGCUAGCAGUUGUUGUUACAGAUUAAGUAGGGUCUAAAUGACUUAACACCCAUGGAAUCUCUGCCUGUUGUCUUCUUCUCCUCUUAGUCUACUCUCCACCUUAAUCUCUGUUUUUAUAACCUCUAUUUUAUUGUAAGUAAUAUUGUGUGUAUUCAGCAACUAGGUUUACGUGCUGAUCACCAUAAACUCAACUGCCACUGGUAGUUGGGGAGGUACCAGAAUCCCUCCAGGGAGAGCCACAGGAGACUCUGCUGCUCUGAAAGGUUAGGGUACCUCAUCAGGAACUAGGUAGUACGGCAUCUGUGGAGGGUCACUAGAGGUUGAUUACCUUGUUUUUUGUACCAUGGACUGCAUUAGCCUGAAAUGACUUGUCUAAGAUCUUAAAACAAGGCAGUGACAGAGCUGGAAAUAAUCUCUGAAGGUAAAUGGUAUUUGUAGCAUAUUUUUUACCAUUAUUGCUUUUUUGGGUGGUUUCUGGUUGAUUACUGCAAAUUAAAAAAAUAAAAUAAAAUUUCUGCAUUACUGAACUUUUGGCAUUCACAUUUGAUUUUAAAUCCAAGGAUGUCUGUGUCUGUCUUAUGUCACUACUGAUCCACUUUCUUAAAUCCACCUUACAUGUCCUACAAAAAUGGGUUUAGACCAUAAAAUCAUCUGUCCUGCCUUCUCCUGUGCAUCCCGGAGUUACAAUACUAAUACUGUACAAAACACAACCCUAUUGUCAUAGAGGUAAUAACAUUAGGUGUUAGGGUUGUGAAUACAAAGUGAGAGUUUUUACUGUUUUCUAGCAAAUCAGAGGAAUGGUGAGAUGUUUACUCACAAAAGGUAUCUUGCCUGGUUUCUCCAUACUUGAUACUACACUGGCAGUUAUGAAACUAGAAAUUACUGCUGUGUUUUUACACAAAAGGAGAAAUUCUGCAAGAGAAAAUUUAAUGCAAUUUGGACCACUUUGUAGUCUUCAGAAUCUGCCACAUUUUCCCUGCCACCCAAAUUAUUUAAAUUAUAAGUAGUUUUGCAAGGCUGUUAGUAUUAUUUUCUCAGCUCACCCAAAGUUUUUGCAAGACUUAUUAUCUAUGAUGAAUCACAACAUCUUUUAUUCAUAUAGUUAUAAGUGCAUUAAAUCUGUCAGGUAUAAUUUGCCGCUUUUUCUUCUUUUGAUUCAGCACGCUUUCUGAAAAGAAGCUAAUUUAAUAACUAGAGAAUCUAAGUUUUAUAAUCAAAUUUGUUAUAUUACCAGACCUGAAUUUCAGAGGGGAUAACAUUAAAAAUCUGCUUGAAAAGAGCAGAAUUGCCAGUGGGCAUUGAAUUAGCAGCCUGAAAAUUAUCUAAUAAUGUUGUGAUCAAGAGUGUUAUGAUGAUGAGAGAAGAAAGAAGAAGAAUUCCGUUUGUCUUUAUCUGUAGCUUUUACAUAUUGUGCAAACUGAAACGAAGGUUAGAACCUCAGCCCAAAGCUUCAAUUCAGGGGAAAGAGUGUUCUGGUUUUAGAUUUUUUAGUGAUUUUCAGUGUGCCUAUAUAAUGUGGUGCUGCAACUCUGCCUAGAAAUCUCUGAAUUACUGCUGGAGAAGUAGAUGCUGCUGUUUAUGUGCAUAUACGAGUGCUUGGCACUGUACACUGGGUACCACAUGUAAUCCCAUGAGUUCUGCAUCCAACAAAUUUCUGCUGAAUUCUGGAUGAGGUUUGUGCUUGGAAGGCUUCUGGAUCAAGGUUUCCUGUCAGAAAGUGCUCUAUAAAAGGCCUGCUCAAAACGAACAGAACAAAAACCCAACAAAAGCAAGUCUUUUCCUGUUGCUCACGUUGGUCUCCUCUGACUCUUGGUCCCCCUAACCCUCUUAACCAAGUUUGUGGCACAGAUUGUAUUUUAUUUACAGAUAUAGGUUAAGACAGCCUGUUAUUUUGUGAUCACAUUAGUUUCAUUUGUACUGUGGAGAUUUUUAAUUCCCAAAGGUGCUGCCAGUUUUUGGGUACACAAUUUAAGUUUAAGCAGAGUUUUUGUUUUUCCCAAGGACUUCUACAGACUUUCAGAUAUUUAAAAUAUGAAAUUGUGGUUCUCUUUGAUUCAUCGUCUGUUAAAGAAUGUUGGCUGUACUAAAACUGGCAAUGAGGCUAAACAAGAAUAAAAAAAAGUAUUCCAGAGAACCAAAACAUGGUAGAGUAUUUGUCUUCUGAAGGUAUGUUGCCACUUAGCAAACACUGAGAAUAAUGACCACACAAAUACAAACAAAGAAAAUUCAAAAAAUCUCUGAAAUUUUGCUUAAUAUUGAAAAGCUUAAUUGAAGGAAGAUCUCGUGUUUUGAACAUUUCUAUUGAGCUUUUUGCGCAAAAGAGAUUGUAUGGAUGUGACACAUCAUUGACAGGACACAGUAAGUCAACUGUUCAUCUGGCUCUGCUGUAGCUCCAGACUUGCACAGCUGAGAAUGUUCCCAUCUGGAGGGGAAGGAUGAUAUAUUAACUCCAUGCAUUUCAGAAGAUGUGUGUCCUACAAUGCAGAGGCCUUGAUGCUGAAGGUAGUUUUGACAAAAAAUUUGUGGCACAGGGGCCAUAGCUGAUACAAAGAUACAGGGUUUAGCUCUAGAAUUCCAUAUUCUUUUAGUCUCUGUUUUACACAUAUAGUUCUUUGAGAAAUCUCAUAGUUUAAGGAUGACAAAUUUCUUAAAAAAGUCGAAGAGGAUCAGAUUGUUAGACAAGAACACCUGAAUGAACUUUUCAUGGAAGGGUAGGAACAAGACCAAAUGUCGUAAUACCCAGUGCAAGGUCACUAGGUAUUAAUAUUAUUAAGGGCAAAAUGCUAGAAAUCUGCACCAAAUGCUCAAUGAUUCAGAGCUUGAGGACUCCGUACAUGAAUAUUUCUUGCUUCUGUCAUCAAACAGCCACACCAAAGCAUGACUAAGAUGAAAGGCAAGGCUGCAGUGGAAUUUGAAGCUGAGAUGGCUCCAUACUGAGAGCAGAACUGGAGAUGAGAUCAAAGAUGAUUGAAUUGAGUUGAUUGCACCUUCCUGAAAAGGUAAAGAAGCAGGAAAGUGUAAGAACCUUUCAAUAAUUAUAAGCAAUUAGAGGGAAAAAAACAAACCCCAGAAGAUGAGACGUAAAAACAGCUCACAUGACGUUGCAAUCUCAUAGUUUAUGUUGUCAGCAAAAAGAGGUUGGAUGAAUUUCUGCUGACUCAGCAGUAAUUGCCAUGCGGCAGCAGUCAGUACUGUUGAAAUGCUGGAACUGAAGGGAACCAGCUAGCCUCUAGUGACUGGGAACAGAUGUCCUCCGAAGAGCAUGAGACAGCAUUCUGCAAUGUGAGAGAAAUCUUUGCCUGUCAGUCUAAACUGAUGACUAGUUUGGUGGACUGGGACAAGUAUCUCUCAUGAGAUAGGAAUUUUACCUUUUUCCUUCUUUUGUGUCACUAGAUACCUAGUCUGGUUCUCAGUGGAGGUGUAACAGUCUAUUUUUGUAAAUGCAGCCUAAUGGACUUUAAUUUUUAGCAGUUACAUAUAUUCUAAAUAUCAGCAUUAGGACUAACAGAGGUGCCUGCAUUUGUGGAUAUAUUCAAGGAGUUUAAUGUCAGGAAUAGUUCCUCUCCAUCUUAGUGUGAAUUAAUGUUUUGUAAUGAUCUGGAUGUAACUGACUUUGAGUUGAGCAGUUUAUAUUCCCUGUUGGAUUAAGAAGGGUUAAGCUCAUGCAGUUCUAUACAAUUGAGCAGUUUUAACUGGAGCCACUUGUGUGAAUCUUGCCUCAGGAGGUUUGAGGUAACUGCCUAAUAUUUUUGGCCAGUGGACAGAAGUAGGAUUUGCAUUUUCAGCCUGACAAAGAUGGCUGAAGUAUUGAGGGUCAAAGCAGCCACAGUCAGCCCUGAGUCCCCAAACACACAAUAGCUGCGAGCUAUACGCCCAUGCUACCCACCUAAAGUGAAAGGGAGGAGUCAGACUGCUCUGUGUGAUAGGAAAAGGAGUAAAGACUCUGAUAUCUGUGUUUAAAUGCUGUUCAAAAGAUACAAAAAAUGUAUCAUUUUACCUUCUACUCAGGAAUAGCUUAUCUAAGAACCACUCUUGAAAGGAAUUGCUAGAAAGGCCAGUUACAGGCAGAAUUUAGUACUGAA